rnacentral:rRNA from 1 species
UACAGAGGGUGCGAGCGUUGUUCGGAAUUACUGGGCGUAAAGCGCGCGCAGGCGGCCUUUUAAGUCCAUCGGUGAAAUGCCGGGGCUCAACCCCGUUGCAGGCCGAGGAUACUGGGAGGCUGGAGACACGUAGAGGCAAGCGGAAUUCCGGGUGUAGCGGUGGAAUGCGUAGAGAUCCGGAAGAACACCGGAGGCGAAGGCGGCUUGGCUGGGCGUGAUCUGACGCUGAGGCGCGAAAGCGUGGGGAGCGAACAGG